UACGUAGGGUGCAAGCGUUAAUCGGAAUUACUGGGCGUAAAGCGUGCGCAGGCGGCUUUGCAAGACAGAUGUGAAAUCCCCGGGCUCAACCUGGGAACUGCAUUUGUGACUGCAAGGUUAGAGUACGGUAGAGGGGGAUGGAAUUCCGCGUGUAGCAGUGAAAUGCGUAGAUAUGCGGAGGAACACCGAUGGCGAAGGCAAUCCCCUGGACCUGUACUGACGCUCAUGCACGAAAGCGUGGGGAGCAAACAGG
rnacentral:rRNA from 1 species